AAGCCGAUGAAGGACGUUACUAACGACGAUAUGCUUUGGGGAGCUGUAAGUAAGCUUUGAUCCAGAGAUUUCCGAAUGGGGAAACCCAGCAUGAGUUAUGUCAUGUUAUCGAUAUGUGAAUACAUAGCAUAUCAGAAGGCACACCCGGAGAACUGAAACAUCUUAGUACCCGGAGGAAGAGAAAGAAAAUUCGAUUCCCUUAGUAGCGGCGAGCGAAACGGGAAGAGCCCAAACCAACAAGCUUGCUUGUUGGGGUUGUAGGACACUCUAUACGGAGUUACAAAGGACGACAUUAGACGAAUCAUCUGGAAAGAUGAAUCAAAGAAGGUAAUAAUCCUGUAGUCGAAAAUGUUGUCUCUCUUGAGUGGAUCCUGAGUACGACGGAGCACGUGAAAUUCCGUCGGAAUCUGGGAGGACCAUCUCCUAAGGCUAAAUACUCUCUAGUGACCGAUAGUGAACCAGUACCGUGAGGGAAAGGUGAAAAGCACCCCGGAAGGGGAGUGAAAUAGAACCUGAAACCGUGUGCUUACAAGUAGUCAGAGCCCGUUAAUGGGUGAUGGCGUGCCUUUUGUAGAAUGAACCGGCGAGUUACGAUUUGAUGCAAGGUUAAGCAGUAAAUGUGGAGCCGUAGCGAAAGCGAGUCUGAAUAGGGCGUUUAGUAUUUGGUCGUAGACCCGAAACCAGGUGAUCUACCCUUGGUCAGGUUGAAGUUCAGGUAACACUGAAUGGAGGACCGAACCGACUUACGUUGAAAAGUGAGCGGAUGAACUGAGGGUAGCGGAGAAAUUCCAAUCGAACCUGGAGAUAGCUGGUUCUCUCCGAAAUAGCUUUAGGGCUAGCCUCAAGUGAUGAUUAUUGGAGGUAGAGCACUGUUUGGACGAGGGGCCCCUCUCGGGUUACCGAAUUCAGACAAACUCCGAAUGCCAAUUAAUUUAACUUGGGAGUCAGAACAUGGGUGAUAAGGUCCGUGUUCGAAAGGGAAACAGCCCAGACCACCAGCUAAGGUCCCAAAAUAUAUGUUAAGUGGAAAAGGAUGUGGCGUUGCCCAGACAACUAGGAUGUUGGCUUAGAAGCAGCCAUCAUUUAAAGAGUGCGUAAUAGCUCACUAGUCGAGUGACACUGCGCCGAAAAUGUACCGGGGCUAAACAUAUUACCGAAGCUGUGGAUUGUCCUUUGGACAAUGGUAGGAGAGCGUUCUAAGGGCGUUGAAGCAUGAUCGUAAGGACAUGUGGAGCGCUUAGAAGUGAGAAUGCCGGUGUGAGUAGCGAAAGACGGGUGAGAAUCCCGUCCACCGAUUGACUAAGGUUUCCAGAGGAAGGCUCGUCCGCUCUGGGUUAGUCGGGUCCUAAGCUGAGGCCGACAGGCGUAGGCGAUGGAUAACAGGUUGAUAUUCCUGUACCACCUAUAAUCGUUUUAAUCGAUGGGGGGACGCAGUAGGAUAGGCGAAGCGUGCGAUUGGAUUGCACGUCUAAGCAGUAAGGCUGAGUAUUAGGCAAAUCCGGUACUCGUUAAGGCUGAGCUGUGAUGGGGAGAAGACAUUGUGUCUUCGAGUCGUUGAUUUCACACUGCCGAGAAAAGCCUCUAGAUAGAAAAUAGGUGCCCGUACCGCAAACCGACACAGGUAGUCAAGAUGAGAAUUCUAAGGUGAGCGAGCGAACUCUCGUUAAGGAACUCGGCAAAAUGACCCCGUAACUUCGGGAGAAGGGGUGCUCUUUAGGGUUAACGCCCAGAAGAGCCGCAGUGAAUAGGCCCAAGCGACUGUUUAUCAAAAACACAGGUCUCUGCUAAACCGUAAGGUGAUGUAUAGGGGCUGACGCCUGCCCGGUGCUGGAAGGUUAAGAGGAGUGGUUAGCUUCUGCGAAGCUACGAAUCGAAGCCCCAGUAAACGGCGGCCGUAACUAUAACGGUCCUAAGGUAGCGAAAUUCCUUGUCGGGUAAGUUCCGACCCGCACGAAAGGCGUAACGAUUUGGGCACUGUCUCAACGAGAGACUCGGUGAAAUCAUAGUACCUGUGAAGAUGCAGGUUACCCGCGACAGGACGGAAAGACCCCGUGGAGCUUUACUGUAGCCUGAUAUUGAAAUUCGGCACAGCUUGUACAGGAUAGGUAGGAGCCUUUGAAACGUGAGCGCUAGCUUACGUGGAGGCGCUGGUGGGAUACUACCCUAGCUGUGUUGGCUUUCUAACCCGCACCACUUAUCGUGGUGGGAGACAGUGUCAGGCGGGCAGUUUGACUGGGGCGGUCGCCUCCUAAAAGGUAACGGAGGCGCUCAAAGGUUCCCUCAGAAUGGUUGGAAAUCAUUCAUAGAGUGUAAAGGCAUAAGGGAGCUUGACUGCGAGACCUACAAGUCGAGCAGGGUCGAAAGACGGACUUAGUGAUCCGGUGGUUCCGCAUGGAAGGGCCAUCGCUCAACGGAUAAAAGCUACCCCGGGGAUAACAGGCUUAUCUCCCCCAAGAGUUCACAUCGACGGGGAGGUUUGGCACCUCGAUGUCGGCUCAUCGCAUCCUGGGGCUGUAGUCGGUCCCAAGGGUUGGGCUGUUCGCCCAUUAAAGCGGUACGCGAGCUGGGUUCAGAACGUCGUGAGACAGUUCGGUCCCUAUCCGUCGUGGGCGUAGGAAAUUUGAGAGGAGCUGUCCUUAGUACGAGAGGACCGGGAUGGACAUACCUCUGGUGUACCAGUUGUCGUGCCAACGGCAUAGCUGGGUAGCUAUGUGUGGACGGGAUAAGUGCUGAAAGCAUCUAAGCAUGAAGCCCCCCUCAAGAUGAGAUUUCCCAACUUCGGUUAUAAGAUCCCUCAAAGAUGAUGAGGUUAAUAGGUUCGAGGUGGAAGCAUGGUGACAUGUGGAGCUGACGAAUACUAAUCGAUCGAAGACUUAAUCAA
rnacentral:rRNA from 1 species